UUAUUACGUUAUUUCUAACUCUUAAAUAACAAAGGAUGGUCAUGAGAAUACGUGUAAAUAGGGUAAAAUUUUAUAUAAUGUGAACAAAAGAGAACAUAGUAAGUAUUAUUUAAGACUAUGACCUAAUAAUCUAUAUUAUAUAAAUAAGCUAAGGCCAACUGUUGUGGUUUCCACUUUAAAUUAUCUUAAUACCCUUCCUCAAUUUUGAUUAAACACUAUUUGGUUGGAUAGUUAAUUACCUCGUAAAUUAUUAUUUAAAAAUCAGAUAAAGAAAAAAAAAACAAAUCAUUGUCAUUAAGUUAUUGUGUAUUAAUCGCGCGAAUUUACAAUUUUUGAAAACUAUACUAUUGAAAACCACUAGCACAGAAAAGCUCAUUUGCGUCGGUCAUUUAGGGGGUAUUUGCGUCGGUUGUACAACCGACGAAAAAGAGUCAUAUUCCUGCCAAAAACGGGCUAUUUUUGGUGGGAAAUAAGGCCCAUUUGAGUCGGUUGUAGGCAAAGAACCCACUACUAGAAAUAGGCCGAUUUUCGACGGACCAGAAUUUCCGUAGGAAUUUUUGAAUUUUUCGAGGAAAUUUAAUUCGUUGGAAAAUUCCGUCGGAAUACCAACUUUCCGCCGGAAUAUCCCUCGUAAAUGUUCCGACGGAAUUAAUUACUGUCGGAAGUACUAAGUUCCGACAGAAAUUAAUUCCGUCGGAACUAAUAAAAAAAAAACAAUGCAUCUCUGACUUCUGGGUUUUUUCGAAAUAGAAAUAGAAAAGGGAAAGGGAAAGAGAAAGAGGAAGAGGAAGAGGAAGAGGAAGAGAAAGAGGAAGAGAAAGAGAGGACCACCAGAUCCACCGCCGCAACCACCGUCCCUACACCGCCGUUAUUCCAAGGCCGCCGUUGGCCACCCUCGUUCCUCCUUCAUCGGUGCGACCAAAACCACUUGCUGCCGCCCCUGACGCCGCCGCGACCACCACCGACGCCACCUCCACCAAGCUACCUUCUCCCCUCCGUCGCUGUGACCAGAAUGACCCUUUCCCCCUACUGAAAGUUCCGGCAAGUCCACGUUAUCAAAGUCCAUUUACUAUUUUAAUUUUAUCUUUUGUCUUGUAUAGAAAUUUUCAUCCUAUCCAGCUGUAUAUGAUUAAUAAAGAAAGAUGUGUAAACUUUAUUAAUUAUAAUUAUAAAUUUAGUUAGUACGGUUAAUUUAAUAUAUAUUCUUUACGUGCCAACCCAUCAUUAUGUACAACAUUAAUUAUGUACUACCCCAAUUGCAAAUCCCAACCCUUAACAUAUUGUGAGAGAUCCAAUGGUCACGAAAUUUUGGCAUCAAGCACGACUAUUAUCCAAGACCAGCAUAAGUUC